rnacentral:rRNA from 1 species
CUACGGGAUGCAGCAGUGGGGAAUCUUAGACAGUGGGGGAAACCCUGAUCUAGCCAUGCCGCGUGAGCGACGACGGCCCUAGGGUUGUAAAGCUCUUUCAGCAGGGAAGAUAAUGACGGUACCUGCAGAAGAAGUCCCGGCUAACUCCGUGCCAGCAGCCGCGGUAAUACGGAGGGGACUAGCGUUGUUCGGAAUUACUGGGCGUAAAGCGCGCGUAGGCGGAUUGUUAAGUCGGGGGUGAAAUCCAGGGGCUCAACCCCGGAACUGCCCUCGAUACUGGCAGUCUUGAGUUCGAGAGAGGUGAGUGGAAUUCCGAGUGUAGAGGUGAAAUUCGUAGAUAUUCGGAGGGACACCAGUGGCGAAGGCGGCUCACUGGCUCGAUACUGACGCUGAGGUGCGAAAGCGUGGGGAGCAAACAGGAUUAGAUACCCGAGUAGUC